AAACAUCACUAAUGAAAUGAAAAAUUAUUUUUUGCUGUUAUAAAUAUCAAACAAAUGUUCCAAUAUCCGUCUAUCAAACAUGUUUAAUGGAAAGUCUAAACUAAAUUAUCAUGCAUACAUCAUAAACCUAUCUUUCCGACUUUUAAAAUAAUGGUUUCUUUCUAUUUCUGCUAAGUAAGCACCGUAAUUUUGGAUUCACUAUUAAUACUGUUGAAUUUCAUGAUUUGAGCCGAAUAUAUUGUGCGUAAGUUUUAUCAUAUUAUAACAAUGCUACUUAUCGGUCAAACAUACACCGUUCCUCGCCGAUCUCACCGAGUUUUCUGAUGUUAUUCUAGUGUAAUUUAUUCGCGAAAAGUUUAUUUUUUCGAUUGAAUUAUUCUAUCGAGUCGUUUGUUUUACGUUUUACCAGCAACAACGAUACGGGC